UGAGUUUUGUAAAAACCCCAACGGCUCUCUCUCAACAUUCUCUUCGCUCUCCCUUCUCUCCGAAACCACCACCACCACCGGCGCUGGUGGUACCGAAACAAACCCACUCUUCUCCACCGUACGACGCAUCAACACUCCCAAUCUCCACCUCGGCCGUCCGAUCAUUCUGAUCUUCGUCUCUCCGUCUCUUCAUCCAACGGCCUCGAUCAAUCCUCCGCCUCUUACUUCUCUGAUCGCGACUUUGUUUACCCUUCCUUUCUCGGCGCCUAUCCUAAUACUAAUAGAACUCGCGUCCACGUCAGGCGAGUCAACUCGGGGCGAGGAGGACUCAGGGACUUAAUCACUCUCUCAUUCUAUAUAUUACUUGUAUUUGGAGGAACUAAUGGGAUGCUUGGGGUAUAAACUUAGUUGCACCUGCAGAGGUUUAUUGGCUUUGCAUUGAUCAUCUUCUUGUAGCUAAAUCAGCAGUUAUGAGUGUUUCUCAGCAGUCACUCAAAUCAAUGAACCUGACAGCUUGUAUGGGAUCAUCCAGUCACACAAGGAGCUUGUGUUGUCUGUUUUCCGUGCAAGUGAAGAGAGCACCGAAUACACCUACUCAACAAUAAUCAAACUCCAGAUUUUUUAUCAUCUUGGCAUGGCUUGGGAUUUACGUUGGAUAGCAUCUUCAUGUGGGAGAAUAGAAUUCAGUCUUACAAAUUCAUACCUUUAGCGUACCAAAUUGCAUCAACAAUGGGUAGCUCAAAGGACACUUCGGGGCACAUAAUUUUUGGUUUGAAACUGAGGUAUAUAAGCUCUACUCCUUUCGCUGGUCUGAAGCAUAUUAUAUGGCUUAUGGUUUUCAUCCAGCUCAGUUUUUUUACUUCAUUUCAUGUUACUUUUCAAGGAGAGGU